rnacentral:rRNA from 1 species
AUACGGAGGGGACUAGCGUUGUUCGGAUUUACUGGGCGUAAAGCGCGCGUAGGCGGUUUGGAAAGUCAGAUGUGAAAUCCCAGGGCUCAACCCUGGAACUGCAUUUGAAACUAUCAGACUAGAGAUUGGGAGAGGUAAGUGGAAUUCCGAGUGUAGAGGUGAAAUUCGUAGAUAUUCGGAGGAACACCAGAGGCGAAGGCGACUUACUGGACCAAUACUGACGCUGAGGUGCGAAAGCGUGGGGAGCAAACAGGAUUAGAAACCCCAGUAGUCC